GAUGAAGAACGCAGCGAAAUGCGAUAAGUAAUGUGAAUUGCAGAAUUCAGUGAAUCAUCGAAUCUUUGAACGCACAUUUCGCCCCUUGGUAUUCCGAGGGGCAUGCCUGUUCGAGCGUCAUUAUAACCCCUCAAGCUCAGCUUGGUGUUGGGGCCUGCUGCACUGGCAGCCCUUAAAAUCAGUGGCGGCGCCAUCUGGCUCUAAGCGUAGUAAUUCUUCUCGCUAUGGAGUCCUGGUGGAUGCUUGCCAUCAACCCCCAAUUUUUCUAUGGUUGACCUCGGAUCAGGUAGGGAUACCCGCUGAACUUAAGCAUAUCAAUAAGCGGAGGA
rnacentral:misc_RNA from 1 species